GAGUAAUGUCUGGGAAACUGCCUGAUGGAGGGGGAUAACUACUGGAAACGGUGGCUAAUACCGCAUAACGUCGCAAGACCAAAGAGGGGGACCUUCGGGCCUCUUGCCAUCAGAUGUGCCCAGAUGGGAUUAGCUUGUUGGUGAGGUAACGGCUCACCAAGGCGACGAUCCCUAGCUGGUCUGAGAGGAUGACCAGCCACACUGGAACUGAGACACGGUCCAGACUCCUACGGGAGGCAGCAGUGGGGAAUAUUGCACAAUGGGCGCAAGCCUGAUGCAGCCAUGCCGCGUGUAUGAAGAAGGCCUUCGGGUUGUAAAGUACUUUCAGCGGGGAGGAAGGUGUUGUGGUUAAUAACCGCAGCAAUUGACGUUACCCGCAGAAGAAGCACCGGCUAACUCCGUGCCAGCAGCCGCGGUAAUACGGAGGGUGCAAGCGUUAAUCGGAAUUACUGGGCGUAAAGCGCACGCAGGCGGUCUGUCAAGUCGGAUGUGAAAUCCCCGGGCUCAACCUGGGAACUGCAUUCGAAACUGGCAGGCUUGAGUCUUGUAGAGGGGGGUAGAAUUCCAGGUGUAGCGGUGAAAUGCGUAGAGAUCUGGAGGAAUACCGGUGGCGAAGGCGGCCCCCUGGACAAAGACUGACGCUCAGGUGCGAAAGCGUGGGGAGCAAACAGGAUUAGA
rnacentral:rRNA from 1 species